UAUUAUAUAGUUUAUAAAAAUAUUAAUUUUGUAAAUUAAAGAUAUAUUUAAAGUAUUAUAAUAA
rnacentral:tRNA from 1 species